AGAGUUUGAUCCUGGCUCAGGAUGAACGCUAGCGGCAGGCCUAAUACAUGCAAGUCGAACGGUCAGUAGCAAUACUGAUAGUGGCGCACGGGUGCGUAACGCGUAGCCAACCUACCCGAAUCUGGGGGAUAGCCCGCCGAAAGGCGGAUUAAUACCGCAUAAAACCACAAUGUGGCAUCACAUAAUGGUUAAAGAUUUAUUGGAUUCGGAUGGGGCUGCGUGCCAUUAGCUAGUUGGGGAGGUAACGGCUCACCAAGGCGACGAUGGCUAGGGGAGCUGAGAGGCUGGUCCCCCACACGGGCACUGAGAUACGGGCCCGACUCCUACGGGAGGCAGCAGUAGGGAAUAUUGGGCAAUGGCCGAGAGGCUGACCCAGCCAUGCCGCGUGCAGGAUGAAGGCUUUCUGAGUCGUAAACUGCUUUUGCCAGGGAAGAAAAAGGGGGAUGCGUCCUUCACUGACGGUACCUGGUGAAUAAGCACCGGCUAACUCCGUG
rnacentral:rRNA from 1 species